rnacentral:rRNA from 1 species
CGCCCGCCGGCGACCGGCGCACGGGUGAGUAACACGUAUGCAACCUGGCCGCCACAGGGGGAUAACCCGCGGAAACGCGGCCUAAUACCCCGUGACGCCACCGGAGGGCAUCCUCCGGUGGCCAAAGGAGCGAUCCGGUGGCGGAUGGGCAUGCGGCGCAUUAGCUAGACGGCGGGGUGACGGCCCACCGGGGCGACGAUGCGUAGGGGUUCUGAGAGGAAGGCCCCCCACACUGGGACUGAGACACGGCCCAGACUCCUACGGAAGGCAGCAG